GCCGCGACUUCUCAGCUUGUCCGGCUGCCGCUGUCUGAGGCACCAUGGAGACGCGUUUCAUUCUCAGCCUUUCGGUCUUUAGCCAGCUAGGUGCGGUGCUGGGUGACUCGGUCCAGUCCAAUGAACCCGAGGUGUCCAGGUCAGAAGGCGGCUCCGUGACCCUCACCUGUUCUUAUGAAACCAGCUACACUGCUGGUGUCUAUCUCUACUGGUACCGUCAGUAUCCGAACCGAGCCCCGCAGUACAUUCUCCUGAGAGGAACGAAGGAAGUCAGCUCUGCCAGCGAUACCGCAGAUUUCGCCCAGCAGAGGUUUUCUUCUCAGGCUAAUGACAGCGCCACAGUUCUGAACAUCGCAGCCCUGGAGCCGGCAGACACGGCGUUGUAUCUCUGCGCCCUACGUCUGGCACAGUGACAGAGCCUCAUAACAGAGAUGUACAAAAACCCUCCCAGCCCUGCUGCAGGGGAUCGUACAGGCAUUAAAACGGGCAGCAGCGCCUUGAAAGAGAGUAUUUGCUCUGCUUAAAUAUACAACUCCCCUUAAAAGCUAAAUGUUUAUUUAAAGAGCUAAUUUAAACUUCGCCCUUGGAUAAGAUAAUGGCCCUGAUCUUUAAUUAGGAAACUAUUAACACCUCUUUUCCUGGCGUCAGGGAUGACCCAUAUCUGUGUUGUUUGUGUGGGGGGUAAUCAUUUGUGGUAAAAUAAGUGUUCAAGGUGAGUACAAAUGUAGGCAAAGUGAACUAUUGUUGAAAAUACAAAUUGAGAUAAAAUUGGAAUGAAAAAUUUCCUUUACACUUGGACAAUAUACUGUUAAAUUGCUCAUUUAUGGUGAAAUGGGGGUAAAAUAGGCGAGUCAAAAUGAGGGGGGAAUUGUUGGAAAUACCCAUUUUUGAGUGGUGGUGUAAAGCUGCAGUUACCAACUCUUCCAGAGUCAAAUCAAUGCUCCUACUGUAGAGACAGUUGCCUUUUGGGGUAGAUUUGCUUGGAAACUAUUUAGUUGCAAGACACUAUUCCCGAGACUAUAUGCUGAGAACCAUGAACUCUUAACAUGACAAAGCGUCGCCAUUUGCUGGAGGAAAAUAUAAACACGGGUUGUCUUUUGAAACCCUUCUGUGCUCUAUAGGUCUCCACUUAAACUGAGGCUGAGGGAAAAGGCAGCAGUGGAAAGACGAAAAUAAUUUAAAAUAAUUCUUUCAGGAGUUCUGACUGGGCAUUUCAAAGGAGGGUAACGGAGUUGGGCUCCUCAUCCCGUUACAUUUUUCUUAUGAUAGCCCCCGAAAUUGACUGCGGAUAAACAUAUUCAUGCCCAAUACUAAUGAUACAUGAGUACGUCAAGAAAUCUCAGCAGUCCCUAUAGGAUCUGGGGACCCCCCCCCCCUUUUUUUUUUUUACAACUAGGGAAACUGAGGCAUGGUCACACACAGAGUCUGUGGAGGGCGCAGCAGAUCUCUGAGUCCCAGAGCAGACCCUUCCCCACAACCCCCCACCUCCACACCCACCCCGAAGCACACUGAUAUGUCAGCUGCUGGCCGACCUGAACCCUCUGCGUUUUCUGGAUCUCCGAUGAAUUUCCCAAACUCCUCCCUCUUCCUCUACGUUGGUUUCUAAUGAAUCUUCCACUGUUCUUGCUGCGCUCACUGGCGGGUCGUCUAUAUUCCUCUCAGGCAGCGGCAGUAGCUGUGCGUUUGAAACUGGGUAGCUAGAGAAGAUACUAUGGAGGCGCCUUUUCUUCUCAGCAUUUGGAUAUUCAAUCUCCUAGGUAACUGGGAUUUCAAAGAAGUCUAAGGGAACGAGACAUUCAAUAAUCAUCAACCUAACCCUAUACCGAACCCGAACCCUAACUGUAACCCUUACCCUACGCCCUAACCAAAAUGCGAAUGCUACAACCUGACAGUUCACCCUCACCAUAACCCUGAACCCUUGUUCAUACCCUCGCCUUAAUCCUAACUUUAAACCCCCAACCCUUCUCCUGCUCACAGCAUUGAUUCCUAUGGAGUUAGGCGCCUAAAUCCCUUAAACGCCUUUGAAGUUCCCUGAAACACCAAAUGCAGGUGGAAUCCUUUCCAAGGCUCAACUACAGCUGAAAUGUUGUCCUUUAAAGUGUUUCUCUUUCUUUCUGAUGAAGUGAGCUGUGGCUCACGAAAGCUCAUGCUCAAAUAAAUUGGUUAGUCUCUAAGGUGCCACAAGUACUCCUUUUCUUUUUGCGAAUACAGACUAACACGGCUGUUCCUCUGAAACCUCUCUUUCUUCAGGCUCUGCGCUGGGCGACUCGGUCAAAUCCAAUCAACUCGAAGUGUCUGGAUCAGUUGGAGGUUCUGUGACACUCACCUGUUCUUACACCACCAGCGAUACGUAUGUCUACCUCUCUUGGUACCGUCAGUAUCCGAACCAAGCCCCGCAGUACAUUCUCCAGAGAGGAGCAAAAGGGAGCACGUUCAGUAAUACCGCAGGUUUCGCCCAGCAGAGGUUUUCUUCCCAGGCUAAUGACAGCGCCACAAUUCUGAACAUCGCAGCCCUGGAGCUGGCGGACAGCGCGGUGUAUUACUGCGCCCUACAGAGAGCACAGUGACAGAGCCACACAGGAGAGCCGUACAAAAACCCUCCCUUCCCUGAUGCAGAUAAGGAUGUGCACAUUGAGGUUGGAAGCGGAGCCCCUCGGGAGUUUUGCUGUUAAAAACACACAUUCUGGCUCCAGCGUGGUGCUGUCAGAUUACUCCUUCCUAAUCUCUCCAAACGGCCUGUAUUAAAAUAGUGGUUUCCAUAUGAGGAGAGAUGAAUAAAACUGGGACUUUUCAGCUCGAAAAAGAGUCGACUCAGGGGGGAUGUGAUAGAGGUUUAUAAAAUCAUGACUGGUGUGGAGAAAGUAAUUAAGGAAGUGUUAUUUAUUCCUUCUCAUAACACAAGAACCAGGGGUCACCCAGUUAAAUGAAUACACAGCAGGUUUAAAACAAACAAAAGGAAGUAUUUCUUCACACAGCACACAGUCAGCCUGUGGAACUCCUUGCCAGAGGGUGUUGUGAAGGCCAAGACUAUAACAGGGUUCAAAAAGGAACUAGUUGGACGUUUGGUCUGAUCCAGUAUGGCUGCUCUUAUAUUUUUACCCCCUAUUAUAUGAGGGAAAGAUUAAAGGCCCAAGAUGUAUAAAGGAAAGAUUGGAUUAUUUGUUCUGGUUCUGGAUCAGGGGCAGUUAUGUCCCACAGGUCUUCCAGGGGGGUACAUCAACUCCUCUAGAUAUUUGCCUAGUUUUAUAACAGGCUACAUAAAAGCACUAGCAAAGUCUGCACAAACUAUUUCAUAGGGACAAUGACU